rnacentral:rRNA from 1 species
UUAAGCGACUAAGCGUACACGGUGGAUGCCCUGGCAGUCAGAGGCGAUGAAGGACGUGCUAAUCUGCGAAAAGCGUCGGUAAGGUGAUAUGAACCGUUACAGCCGGCGAUGUCCGAAUGGGGAAACCCAGUGCAAUUCGUUGCACUAUCGUUAACUGAAUACAUAGGUUAACGAGGCGAACCGGGGGAACUGAAACAUCUAAGUACCCCGAGGAAAAGAAAUCAACCGAGAUUCCCCCAGUAGCGGCGAGCGAACGGGGAGCAGCCCAGAGUCUGAAUCAGCUUGUGUGUUAGUGGAACGGUCUGGAAAGUCCGACGGUACAGGGUGAUAGUCCCGUACACCAAAAUGCACAGGUUGUGAACUCGAAGAGUAGGGCGGGACACGUGGUAUCCUGUCUGAAUAUGGGGGGACCAUCCUCCAAGGCUAAAUACUCCUGACUGACCGAUAGUGAACCAGUACCGUGAGGGAAAGGCGAAAAGAACCCCGGCGAGGGGAGUGAAAAAGAACCUGAAACCGUGUACGUACAAGCAGUGGGAGCACCUUCGGGUGUGACUGCGUACCUUUUGUAUAAUGGGUCAGCGACUUAUAUUCUGUAGCAAGGUUAACCGUAUAGGGGAGCCGCAGGGAAACCGAGUCUUAACUGGGCGUUAAGUUGCAGGGUAUAGACCCGAAACCCGGUGAUCUAGCCAUGGGCAGGUUGAAGGUUGGGUAACACUAACUGGAGGACCGAACCGACUAAUGUUGAAAAAUUAGCGGAUGACUUGUGGCUGGGGGUGAAAGGCCAAUCAAACCGGGAGAUAGCUGGUUCUCCCCGAAAGCUAUUUAGGUAGCGCCUCGUGAACUCAUCUUCGGGGGUAGAGCACUGUUUCGGCUAGGGGGUCAUCCCGACUUACCAACCCGAUGCAAACUACGAAUACCGAAGAAUGUUAUCACGGGAGACACACGGCGGGUGCUAACGUCCGUCGUGAAGAGGGAAACAACCCAGACCGCCAGCUAAGGUCCCAAAGUCAUGGUUAAGUGGGAAACGAUGUGGGAAGGCACAGACAGCCAGGAUGUUGGCUUAGAAGCAGCCAUCAUUUAAAGAAAGCGUAAUAGCUCACUGGUCGAGUCGGCCUGCGCGGAAGAUGUAACGGGGCUAAACCAUGCACCGAAGCUGCGGCAGCGACACUAUGUGUUGUUGGGUAGGGGAGCGUUCUGUAAGCCUGCGAAGGUGUGCUGUGAGGCAUGCUGGAGGUAUCAGAAGUGCGAAUGCUGACAUAAGUAACGAUAAAGCGGGUGAAAAGCCCGCUCGCCGGAAGACCAAGGGUUCCUGUCCAACGUUAAUCGGGGCAGGGUGAGUCGACCCCUAAGGCGAGGCCGAAAGGCGUAGUCGAUGGGAAACAGGUUAAUAUUCCUGUACUUGGUGUUACUGCGAAGGGGGGACGGAGAAGGCUAUGUUAGCCGGGCGACGGUUGUCCCGGUUUAAGCAUGUAGGCUGGUUGUCCAGGCAAAUCCGGAUAAUCAAGGCUGAGGUGUGAUGACGAGGCACUACGGUGCUGAAGUAACAAAUGCCCUGCUUCCAGGAAAAGCCUCUAAGCAUCAGGUAACAUUAAAUCGUACCCCAAACCGACACAGGUGGUCAGGUAGAGAAUACCAAGGCGCUUGAGAGAACUCGGGUGAAGGAACUAGGCAAAAUGGUGCCGUAACUUCGGGAGAAGGCACGCUGGUGUGUAGGUGAAGUCCCUGCGGAUGGAGCUGAGACCAGUCGAAGAUACCAGCUGGCUGCAACUGUUUAUUAAAAACACAGCACUGUGCAAACACGAAAGUGGACGUAUACGGUGUGACGCCUGCCCGGUGCCGGAAGGUUAAUUGAUGGGGUUAUCCGUAAGGAGAAGCUCUUGAUCGAAGCCCCGGUAAACGGCGGCCGUAACUAUAACGGUCCUAAGGUAGCGAAAUUCCUUGUCGGGUAAGUUCCGACCUGCACGAAUGGCGUAAUGAUGGCCAGGCUGUCUCCACCCGAGACUCAGUGAAAUUGAACUCGCUGUGAAGAUGCAGUGUACCCGCGGCAAGACGGAAAGACCCCGUGAACCUUUACUAUAGCUUGACACUGAACAUUGAGCCUUGAUGUGUAGGAUAGGUGGGAGGCUUUGAAGCGUGGACGCCAGUCUGCGUGGAGCCAACCUUGAAAUACCACCCUUUAAUGUUUGAUGUUCUAACGUUGGCCCCUGACCGGGGUUGCGGACAGUGUCUGGUGGGUAGUUUGACUGGGGCGGUCUCCUCCCAAAGCGUAACGGAGGAGCACGAAGGUUAGCUAAUCCUGGUCGGACAUCAGGAGGUUAGUGCAAUGGCAUAAGCUAGCUUGACUGCGAGCGUGACGGCGCGAGCAGGUGCGAAAGCAGGUCAUAGUGAUCCGGUGGUUCUGAAUGGAAGGGCCAUCGCUCAACGGAUAAAAGGUACUCCGGGGAUAACAGGCUGAUACCGCCCAAGAGUUCAUAUCGACGGCGGUGUUUGGCACCUCGAUGUCGGCUCAUCACAUCCUGGGGCUGAAGUAGGUCCCAAGGGUAUGGCUGUUCGCCAUUUAAAGUGGUACGCGAGCUGGGUUUAGAACGUCGUGAGACAGUUCGGUCCCUAUCUGCCGUGGGCGCUGGAGAAUUGAGGGGGGCUGCUCCUAGUACGAGAGGACCGGAGUGGACGCAUCACUGGUGUUCGGGUUGUCAUGCCAAUGGCACUGCCCGGUAGCUAAAUGCGGAAGAGAUAAGUGCUGAAAGCAUCUAAGCACGAAACUUGCCCCGAGAUGAGUUCUCCCUGAGACUUUAAGUCUCCUGAAGGAACGUUGAAGACGACGACGUUGAUAGGCCGGGUGUGUAAGCGCAGCGAUGCGUUGAGCUAACCGGUACUAAUGAACCGUGAGGCUUAACCUU